AAAAGAUGGCUGCUUCCAUGAUCAAACAUUUUUCCAAGGGAGCCAGAGUGUUAGCUGGACAGGUGUGGAGGUCUGCUCCCAGGGUGAAGGAUGCUGGAGAAACCAGUUUAGUACAUAAGUUCUCCACCCUAAAUCUUGAGACUGUUGACAGAGGAAGCACAGUGAUGAGACAGGGUGUAUGUGGAGCUUCAACUCAAAGGUACUGUCUGGCAGAAAUAUGGAUACCGUUUACCUAGAGUGUUUGGGAUAUUAUAAUUUUCUUUGCUAUAAUUUUUUUUUUAUCAAACAUAGAAUACUCAUACUAAAACAAUGAUAUUUAAAUGGUGUAACUGUUGGGCCAAGAGUAGAUAUUUUAGUUUAAACAAUGACAAAUGGAUUGGAUUUGCCCCCUUCUCAAAUCAUACGAAAUGAUGCACGCUCUAUUUACAAUUAUGACAUCAAAUUGCAUAUGUAUCCUAGGCAAAGUGAUUGUAAGAAUAUUUUCUUUCGUCAGUACUAAAAAUAAUUUCAUAUGUUUAAGAAUUAAGAUUUGCUAAUUAUUCGGUAUCGAAUGGGUCAGUGUCAUGUGUAGAAUAAGUUGAUUUUCCUAAUUAAAGCAUCUGGUUUGCUAAGUCAAUUAUAUUUAAUUGAAUUACCAAAGAUUGAAACCUUAAAAGUUUUAAUAAAGUUAAUCAGGAAUAUGUUUCUAUAUAUAAUGUAUCAUUAAUGUUCGAGUUAACAUUGUCAAACAAAAUGGUGUCUGGAAGAGAUAAUUUUAACUGAUAGUACCGCUGAUCCAAUUUUCACAUAUUUUUUACAUGCAUGUAUAUUAUGUGUUACUGACUUCAGUAUUAGAAUGCCUUCAUUUAUACCAGUGCAUGGUAUCUUGAUCAUUGCCAUAUUUUUAUAAUUUUCAUACAAUAUAGAUUGAAUUAUUUCAGAUUGAUUGACAUGUAACAUACAACUACAGUAUAUAUGGACAUGUGAAAUUCAUAUUCAAUAGUGAAUACUUAUUGUUACUAAUAAUUAAUAUGCUUAUUAACUGUAUUUUGGAAAUUGUGGGAUGAAAUUUGAUUUUCUUAUUUAAAGCAUUUAUGUUGAGAUUUAAGUGUAUCGUAUGUGUUGAAAUUUGAUUGACAAAAGAAAUGUGUACUUGACAGGUCAUUGCUGGAAGUUUGUCAGCCAUUUAAAACCACAAUCCGCACCAAAAUACGCUACAGUAAACUGAACAAGGACAAAACAGCUCGGCCAGUGGUUCGGCGAUUCUAUCGACUGGACUGGGGGGCAUGGAUCCGAACUCGCUGUGGGCGGGGCAAGAAACGAUUCCAGAAGUCAGCGGAACGCAAGAGACGAUUGGACCAACAUGUGUUCUGUAAUAAACAGCAAAACAAACUUCUAGACCAACUUGUUACACCAUUUUGGAGAAGGAAAAUGUUUUUUGUGGAUGACCCUUAUGCACCCUAUCAAAAAAGGCAUCAUAUUCCUAAAUAUUACAAAGAAAAGCCAGUUUUUCUUCCUUGAUUUUAAAACCAGCGUGUUUAUGUAUGUUUUGUUUUGAAAUAAAUUUAUUUGGAUCCAAUUUUCAUUGC
rnacentral:misc_RNA from 1 species